rnacentral:lncRNA from 1 species
CUUGUUCUAGAUGAUUUCUUUGUGUUAACAAGAGGAAGCAAGUCCAUUGCCAAGAAAAGCUGCUAAGUUCCCAUAAAACCAGGAGAUGGUCCAUCCUCCUAAAAAGCAAACAAGUGGCCACCACAGCAGAUUGCUCCCUAAGUGUGCAGGAGACUGCUUUGUGAUGAAAAGGUGGUGAUGACCUGAAGAUGACAAAAGUGUGUUGGAGUUCCAUUGUAGAAUGGCCACCGUGGCAAGUCUACAGGAAAAGGUACAGGUUUCAGCUAAAGUUUGUAUGUUAAAUUCAAGACAAGAUCAGAAACACUACGACAGUGGAGGAGGAGGGGAAUCACCCUCCUUCUGCUCACCCAAGAAGAAAAGUAGAACAUAGAAAUCAGAAAAGGCUUUCUGUCACUAUCAUGGCAAGGAAAUUAAAAAACAAAACAAAACAAGAACAAAAAAAAAAAACAACAACUGUUCACUUGGGAUUCUUUCUAUAAGAAUUUAGUAAUGUUUCUUAAGCUGUGUGAAUUACUUAAUGUUUAUUAUUUUUAUCUUUUAUUUCCUUGUGACAAAUAGCAAUACAACUUUUAGCAACAAGUAUGACCCUGUGUAGAGAAGCAGAAAAAGGAAAGCUAAAGAAAAGAAUUCCUGUUCUAAAGAGUGAUAUUGAUAUCAGGAGGAUAGGACAGGUUAUGUUCCUAAGUACCUGAGAAAAGGCAAGAAAGGCAUUGUAUUGAGAUGUUCUCAGCCAGAGAAGCAGUCUUUUGUUUACCCAUAAAUGGCCCACAGGGGCCUCCUGACACCACUAUGAUUCUUUCAACCACAAAGGAUUAUGGUUUCUUUAUUCAUAUUUGUACUUCAGC